rnacentral:rRNA from 1 species
GUUUAGCAAAAACACAGGUCUCUGCUAAAGCGUAAGCUGAUGUAUAGGGGCUGACGCCUGCCCGGUGCUGGAAGGUUAAGGGGAACACUUAGCGCAAGCGAAGGUGUGAACUUAAGCCCCAGUAAACGGCGGCCGUAACUAUAACGGUCCUAAGGUAGCGAAAUUCCUUGUCAGGUAAGUUCUGACCCGCACGAAUGGCGUAAUGACUUGGGCACUGUCUCAACUGUAAAUCCGGCGAAGUUGUAGUGCGAGUGAAGAUGCUCGCUACCCGCGAUUGGACGGAAAGACCCCGUAGAGCUUUACUGUAGCUUAGCAUUGAGUUUUGGUAUUGUCUGUACAGGAUAGGUGGGAGACUAGGAAACCAGGG